UGGGGAAUAUUGGGCAAUGGGCGCAAGCCUGACCCAGCAACGCCGCGUGAAGGAUGAAGGCUUUCGGGUUGUAAACUUCUUUUCUCAGGGACGAAAGAAAUGACGGUACCUGAGGAAUAAGCCACGGCUAACUACGUGCCAGCAGCCGCGGUAAUACGUAGGUGGCGAGCGUUAUCCGGAUUUACUGGGUGUAAAGGGCGUGUAGGCGGGAAGGCAAGUCAGAUGUGAAAACUAUGGGCUCAACCCAUAGCCUGCAUUUGAAACUGUUUUUCUUGAGUGCUGGAGAGGCAAUCGGAAUUCCGUGUGUAGCGGUGAAAUGCGUAGAUAUACGGAGGAACACCAGUGGCGAAGGCGGAUUGCUGGACAGUAACUGACGCUGAGGCGCGAAAGCGUGGGGAGCAAACAGG
rnacentral:rRNA from 1 species